GAUGAACGCUGGCGGCGUGCCUAAUACAUGCAAGUCGAGCGAACGGACGAGAAGCUUGCUUCUCUGAUGUUAGCGGCGGACGGGUGAGUAACACGUGGAUAACCUACCUAUAAGACUGGGAUAACUUCGGGAAACCGGAGCUAAUACCGGAUAAUAUUUUGAACCGCAUGGUUCAAAAGUGAAAGACGGUCUUGCUGUCACUUAUAGAUGGAUCCGCGCUGCAUUAGCUAGUUGGUAAGGUAACGGCUUACCAAGGCAACGAUGCAUAGCCGACCUGAGAGGGUGAUCGGCCACACUGGAACUGAGACACGGGCCAGCCACAUACGGGAGGCAGCAGUAGGGAAUCUUCCGCAAUGGGAGAAAGCCUGACGGAGCAACGCCGCGGGAGUGAUGAAGGUCUUCGGAUCGUAAAACACUGUUAUUAGGGAAGAACAUAUGUGUAAGUAACUGUGCACAUCUUGACGGUACCUAAUCAGAAAGCCACGGCGAACUACGU
rnacentral:rRNA from 1 species